rnacentral:rRNA from 1 species
UGGGGAAUUUUGGACAAUGGGCGAAAGCCUGAUCCAGCAAUGCCGCGUGUGUGAAGAAGGCCUUCGGGUUGUAAAGCACUUUUGUCCGGAAAGAAAUCCUUGGCUCUAAUACAGUCGGGGGAUGACGGUACCGGAAGAAUAAGCACCGGCUAACUACGUGCCAGCAGCCGCGGUAAUACGUAGGGUGCAAGCGUUAAUCGGAAUUACUGUGCGUAAAGCGUGCGCAGGCGGUUUGCUAAGACCGAUGUGAAAAUCCCCGGGCUCAACCUGGGAACUGCAUUGGUGACUGGCAGGCUAGAGUAUGGCAGAGGGGGGUAGAAUUCCACGUGUAGCAGUGAAAUGCGUAGAGAUGUGGAGGAAUACCGAUGGCGAAGGCAGCCCCCUGGGCCAAUACUGACGCUCAUGCACGAAAAGCGUGGGGAGCAAACAGGAUUAGAUACCCUGGUAGUCCACGCCCUAAACGAUGUCAACUAGUUGUUGGGGAUUCAUUUCCUUAGUAACGUAGCUAACGCGUGAAGUUGACCGCCUGGGGGAGUACGGUCGCAAGAUUAAAAACUCAAA